GACGAACGCUGGCGGCGUGCCUAACACAUGCAAGUCGAGCGAGUGAAUCUCCUUCGGGAGUGAAGCUAGCGGCGGACGGGUGAGUAACACGUGGGCAACCUGCCUCAUAGAGGGGAAUAGCCUUUCGAAAGGAAGAUUAAUACCGCAUAAGAUUGUAGCUUCGCAUGAAGUAGCAAUUAAAGGAGCAAUCUGCUAUGAGAUGGGCCCGCGGCGCAUUAGCUAGUUGGUGAGGUAACGGCUCACCAAGGCGACGAUGCGUAGCCGACCUGAGAGGGUGGUCGGCCACAUUGGGACGGAGACACGGCCCAGACUCCUACGGGAGGCAGCAGUGGGGAAUAUUGCACAAUGGGGGAAACCCUGAUGCAGCAACACCGCGUGAGUGAUGACGGCCUUCGGGUUGUAAAGCUCUGUCUUCAGGGACGAUAAUGACGGUACCUGAGGAGGAAGCCACGGCUAACUACGUGCCAGCCGCCGCUGUAAAAC
rnacentral:rRNA from 1 species